rnacentral:rRNA from 1 species
GACGAACGCUGGCGGCGUGCUUAACACAUGCAAGUCGAACGGGAUCCGGGCUUUCGGGUUUGGUGAGAGUGGCGAACGGGUGAGUAACACGUGAGUAACCUGCCCCCUUCUUUGGGAUAACGUCGGGAAAUCGGCGCUAAUACUGGAUAUUCUUGCUGUAUCGCAUGGUGUGGUUUGGAAAGGGUUUCUGGUGGGGGAUGGGCUCGCGGCCUAUCAGCUUGUUGGUGGGGUGAUGGCCUACCAAGGCUUUGACGGGUAGCCGGCCUGAGAGGGUGUCCGGCCACACUGGGACUGAGACACGGCCCAGACUCCUACGGGAGGCAGCAGUGGGGAAUAUUGCACAAUGGGCGCAAGCCUGAUGCAGCGACGCCGCGUGAGGGAUGACGGCCUUCGGGUUGUAAACCUCUUUCAGUAUGGAACAAGGAUCCUUCUUGUGGGGGGUUUGAGGGUACGUGCAGAAGAAGCGCCGGCUAACUACGUG